rnacentral:lncRNA from 1 species
GAAUGUUUUGUUUUUUAUCAUUUCAAAAUGGAAUUAAUCCUCUUAUAACAUUUAUUUAAAUGAUAAAUCAAGUGGUAAAUAUAGUUUGCUUGCAGUGAACAUUUGGAACAUAUGAUGAAAAAUAGCUAUAGCCAACGCAAGAGCAGUUUUCAUUGAACAGUUGUUCAAUCUCAGUUUUUAAUAAAUCUGAUAAUAUAAUAUCUGUGCAUGUUAGGAUUGCAGAGAGUGAAGCCAAAAUAAAUAUGUGCACACAUAGCCUAUUCCUCCCUUUCUUUCCAUUUCUGUUCUCUUUCCUCUUUGCUUUUGAAAUUUUUAUUUAGUCCUGAGUGGGGAUGGGGUGGAGAGAAAGUGGACAGUGGGUGGUGGGAGAUACAGGGAGAAAGAAUGAGAAUUGCUCUUGUUCUCAAGGGUACCGCAUCACGUUUUCCUCUGGCUGGCAGUCUUUAACACCAGCGUAUCCUAUGAGACCUGACUUCACUCAUCAGCUGCAUCAGCUCAGUGUCAUUACCACAUGUAGACAGCAAUGUAAUCCUCCUUCUUAGAGAUGCUGCAGCAGAUUGGAGGGUGAAGAGAUGUAUCAGUCAGAUCAGAGUAACCAGCUGGCUCCUGGCUCCUGAUCAUUGUCACAGCUCAGUAGCUGGAAGCUCCUUCCAUAUGGCUGAUGCCUUUAAAAAAAUCUCCUCAAUCUCCAUCCCCAUCUGCAAUACUGUUUAGUUAUUCAAUCAUUUAAGUCAUUCAUGUAUUGAAAAGAGGAUGGGGAUAUGAUCCCUCUGCUCUGUGGCAGUAGAUCUACUAAUGGGAGAGUCCUGGCCGCACAUCUGGCCUGGGUCUGGAGGUGCCCUACGGAAUUGAAAGCUGGCUGGAACUGUCAUCUUAACAUGUCCUGGUCAUCUUAACGUGUCCACCUCUCUGGCAAGCCUCUUUUCAAGUCUUUUUGUUACCAUCUUCAGCUUUUUCCCUCCAUACUAGAUUCUUAAUGAAUUGCUGCCAACAAGAGAAAGCUUUAUACAUGAAGAGAAUGGCAAUAAGAACUAACUCGUCUUUUUAAUUUUAAAACUGGUAUAUAUUCCUAUAUAAUAGGAAUGGAAGAUACUUGCAAAGCCUAUUUGUUCCUCUACAGAAGAGUUAAAAAUUACCUGGGCUAAUGGAAAGAAGGGAGAGUCAGCCAAUUAGAUGCUCCUGAAUGCCCUGAAUUGUGACUUACCUCUUCUUAUCCACAUCCUGAUCAAGGAAAGGGAUGAGAGAGAGGUGGAGAGAGAAGAAAUGGAAAUUCAAAAGUUUUGACGGCAGAGGAAAAUUGUGCUUAUUUCCAGAAUGAGACGAACAAGGUCCUGGGUCCCUACAUGUCAUACUGGCUAGAGACUGGGAAACAGAUUAACUGAGAGAAGCCAUCAAGCCUGAAGAGACAUCGUGUUUGAAAUGUGUAAGGCACAGUGUACCCGCCGUGGAUCAAAACAACCUGAAGGACAGACAGACAGACACACCGAGGAUCAGCAGAUAUCAGUGGGGACAGGUGCUGAUGAUGGUGCAAAUGAGAGUCAUGAAGGAAAGUUAAAUGAUGACCAAAGACCAAGUACCUUCCCCACAAUGCUUUGACAAGCGCUUUUAUAAGCACCCUGGAAUUUAGACACUACCCGGGGAGAAAAGGAAAGGGAGACAAGCAUGAAUUGUCUGAGAAACCCCUGAAUUAAUCAUGUGUACCCCAAUGCAACAAGGAUCUAGAUAUAGAAUAAUUUUAAUUAUAGAAAACAAAAUUAUAUUUUACCCACCCAUAUUUGAUGCCCAUGAAUUUCACAUCUACCUUACGUGCACAUAAAAUUCAAGCUUAGAUAGACGGAAAACAAAAAAUCAAGAAGCAAUAUUUGCCUUCUAAUAACUUAUCUAUUGGAGGAGGUAAAAGAUAGAAAAGUAGUUCAGAUGACAAAUACUAAAAGAGUUAGGAACUUCUGCUUCCACUUACGAUGAAGGAACUUGUACUCAAUCCAUCCACUUUGUAAUUCUCCUUGAGCUGCUGUAAUAAAGUACCACAAACUGGGU